UACGUAGGGGGCUAGCGUUGUCCGGAAUCAUUGGGCGUAAAGAGCGUGUAGGCGGUCCGGUAAGUCCGUUGUGAAAGUCAGGGGCUCAACCCUUGAAUGCCGGCGGAUACUGUCGGGCUAGAGUCCGGAAGAGGCAAGUGGAAUUCCCGGUGUAGCGGUGAAAUGCGCAGAUAUCGGGAGGAACACCUAUGGCGAAGGCAGCUCGCUGGAACGUAACUGACGCUGAGACGCGAAAGCGUGGGGAGCAAACAGG
rnacentral:rRNA from 1 species